rnacentral:misc_RNA from 1 species
UUUCCGUAGGUGAACCUGCGGAAGGAUCAUUAAAUAGUACCACAGAUUACAUAUGCAAAUAUGACAAUCUACUACUAUAUACCAUUCCGAGUACUCUUUUUCCAUGUUGCUUCCGCGAGGCAGUCUCUUCAAGUGGCCGUUUGCUCCGGAUCUCCCUUCUUGGAGAGUCGGCUGUGGGCGAGAUUUCCUUGCGAAAGGUCAAUUACAAAUCCAAUUAUGUUUUUAUUUUGUGUCUGAAUAGAUUUUUUUUUUCUUUCUUUUUUUAAUUAAUAAAUACAAAAAAAAUAAAAUAAAAUACAAAACUUUCAACAACGGAUCUCUUGGUUCUC